CCAAUUAUGCACACGCUUUCCUGUAAAGGCAGCCACACCUGAUAAUUUAGAAAUAAACGCUUUCGCACACACGUGAUGGAGUUCUGCAACCCUCACGACUGUGAGCCCUCAGCCGAGAUCUCGGCCUCGCUGCAGCCUGGCACCAUGAUAGUGCCUGCGCUUCCAACGGGUUUUACACUCAGACACUUGGAAAUGCUCAGCCCUGAUGGAGUCAGGAAUGAAACAUCCUUUGCAGGAGCAUUUUUCAAGGAAAGUGAAUACUGUAUCUCAAAAGCUCACUUAGAGAGAUUACAUUAACACCAAAACUUGUCACCUGCAAAUGCAUUGUCAGCUCGGCUGCUUCUGCGUCAUUUAUUCUUACAAAAUGACAAGUGUACUAACAUCAAAGUGCUUGGUAUCACCAAGGAAGGAGGAAAAUCACAGCUUAACUUUUUUUCCCUUCCUAAAUCUCAGGCUGAGUUCUCCCAACUUGUAAAGCUGGACGUUUCCUGUGCAUCGUGGAAUAUAGGUCCCAAAGCCCACCAAGAAAGUGUAUUAUUUUCUGACUGCAGCAGCACUCUAAAUAAUCUGUGUGGAGCCACCACAGUAUUUGGUAGCAGUCUGUAAAAAUAACCCUUGAUUUCCAGACUCGAUGGGCCUGGAUCGAGUGUCCAAAAUCUGGGAAGAGACCAUGAGAAACUGCUCAGCCCCAGCCCUGAGACACGAGCAGCAGGGCCGUCCGGAGCGUGAAUAACUGGAAUUUAUAUCAGGGUGAUGGUGAUGUAAUUUGUACAGCUGGGACAUCACACGAAAGCCAAGGAAAAAUAAGAAACAACACAUUCAUAAACACAGACACACACAGAUUAGCGGGAAGUUUCACCUCAGGAAAUCAUUGUGGCUCUCUGUUCCUGUCAGUAAUGUGUCUGCAAAUGUCACCCAGCAGCAAUGCAUCACCCCGUGAGCAGCCCCAGAACACAGAGGCGACCAAAAUGGUAAUGAGAAAGAGGUUGCCAAAUACUUUUGAAAAAAGUCAGGGAUUGGACCCAUCGGGAGAAAAAUUACGCAAUAAAAUCAACAACGUGCCAAGAAAACCAAGGCCGAGGGAGGAAGCUGCCUGUGCCAGUCCUGGUCACAGAGGAGAAAGCUGUUUCCCUGGGAGAGGACACUGGAGCUGGAUUCAAUAUUUGCUUCUCCUGCUGGUCGACUUGCUUCUCUACCGAGCAUCUCAGACAACUGCUUUUGUCCAAACCAGUGUUCAGACCUGCAGCUGGACUAGGUUUUAACGGGUAUACGUGGCAUGGGAAAAUACUCGCUCUGCUCCAGAGAAGCCCUGUUUUCUUCCUUUACCUCACCUUACAGCAGAGCUCCGCUGCCUGCCCUUAGAAGAAAGACCCCUGUUAAGUUCAUUACAGACCAACGAUUAGACAGGAGAAAAAAAAAUAGGGAAAAAUCGGGAAAGUUGGGUUCAGUUCCCUGCUCUCCGUGAGCUGCUCACUGAAACAAGAGGCUCCAGGCACAAGCCAAAGGCUGCACCCUUAGGUAAAUGUAACAAAAGACAUGGAGAUUCCUGGCUAUCCUGCUAGAAAUAAGAGUCCACAAGGACCUAGCACUGCGAAACGUCUCUGGAGGUUCAGCUGCUGGUGCCCUGCUGCUGGCGGGACAGACAGUAAUAGUUAGCAACCCGAAUUCGGUGAGGCUCUGGCUAUGCAGAACAGAGGAUGUAAAUGCCAGUGCUGUGCUAUCACAGUACGGUAAAAAAAAGGGCACUCACAAACUGUUUGUGUGCCUUUGUGUAAUUCUGAAUAAUUCUGAUGAGCACCAAAAGCUGCAUAGCCUCUGGCUGUUCACUGUCUUUGACAUCUUCCUCCAAAUGCAACGCUCUAAGAAGUGUGGGGGCCAUGCUCCGAGGAGCACUGUUAUAAAAGCGCGGGGACGGCGCAGACAUCAGCAGAGUCACUUUCUGCAUCACUGCAGGACUGCGGGACUGACCUGGAGCCUUCACCCUUGUGCCUGCUCCGUAUCUGAGGCGCCUCCGGCCGCAGAGGCUCUGCUGCUAUUGCCGGCCAGUUUGCCAAUCGUGAUGGCGAUCACAAGUCUGCGAGGAAAUGAAGUCACAACAGUGACUGGAAGAACUUCAGAAAAGCCUUCCAUUAGGCAGUGGGGACUGGAAACCACUACUGAUGAGGGCUGAACUGGAAGCAGUAGAAACCCCGUAUCUCGUCACAAAUUGCCACAAUACAUGGAUUACGGACAUGGCUCUGGUUGGCGGUGCCAUGCUCCAGGUGGACCAAAGAAGGACUUGGCUCCAUGGAGUACUCAGAGUUUUAACAGGUUAACACUGGCAAGUUUGUUUAAUACACUGAGCUCAGUUCCUGUUGGCUAAUGUUAAUGUUGGCACAAUUAGGCUGAUGAAAACACUGUGCAGAUGUCCUCUGGUGAUCCAGUCCCUCCCCAACACUUGUAACUAUCAGAUAAUAAACUCUUUUUCCA